AAGUCGUAACAAGGUUUCCGUAGGUGAACCUGCGGAAGGAUCAUUAAUAAAAUGAAGUUUUUUGUGGUUUUUAAUCUCAAAAAAUAAUUCACCUUUUGUGCAUUGUUAUUAAGAUAUACUUUGGUUAGAGCUUUGAUUUCAUUUUUUGAAGUCAACUUCUUGCUGACUCUAUCCUUUCUGAGGACAGUUGGCUAUGAAGCGGCCUACCAAAGUUUUUUAUCAAACUCUUGUAUUUUGUCUGACCUAAAAAACAAAUAAUUAAAUCAUAACUUUCAACAACGGAUCUCUUGGCUCUC
rnacentral:misc_RNA from 1 species